AUUGAACGCUGGCGGCAUGCCUAACACAUGCAAGUCGAACGGUAACAGGCCCUUCAGGGUGCUGACGAGUGGCGGAUGGGUGAGUAAUACUUAGGAAUCUACCCUGUAGUGGGGGACAACCCGGGGAAACUCGGGCUAAUACCGCAUACGCUCUACGGAGGAAAGCGGGGGACCGCAAGGCCUCGCGCUAUUGGAUGAGCCUAAGCCCGAUUAGCUAGUUGGUGGGGUAAUAGCCACCAAGGCAAUGAUCGGUAGCUGGUCUGAGAGGACGACCAGCCACACGGGAACUGAGACACGGGUCCCGACUCCUACGGGAGGCAGCAGUGGGGAAUCUUCCACAAUGGACGAAAGUCUGAUGGAGCAACACCGCGUGCAGGAUGACGGCCU
rnacentral:rRNA from 1 species